rnacentral:rRNA from 1 species
CGAAGCGGUGACGUGGAGCAAACCUCGGAAAGCCAAUCUCAGUUCGGAUUGUAGGCUGCAACUCGCCUACAUGAAGUUGGAAUCGCUAGUAAUCGCGAAUCAGAAUGUCGCGGUGAAUACGUUCCCGGGUCUUGUACACACCGCCCGUCACACCACGAGAGUUUACAACACCCGAAGUCAGUGGCCUAACCGCAAGGAGGGAGCUGCCUAAGGUGGGGUAGAUGAUUGGGGUGAAGUCGUAACAAGGUAUC